rfam:Nitrosopumilus sp. BACL13 MAG-120910-bin56 contig00340_1_120910-bin56, whole genome shotgun sequence.
GCCGAGGUCGCUUAGUUCGGUAGAGCGCGGGCCUUGAGAGCCUGUGUACGCAAGUACGCGGGGGUUCAAAUCCCUCUCUCGGCG